GAUUUAUACAGAAGCGGGGAGAGAUCAGGCUCUUCGAACCGCUGGCAACCUACCACUUGGCAAGGUGCUAACUCCUGCCUAAAAUGACCCAAACGUGGUCAUUAGGAACUAUAAAUC
rnacentral:ncRNA from 1 species